UCUGGUUGGCCUACCAUCCCGGAACAGGCGUUAACUCCAGGCUGUAGCAAGAUGGCGUCCUUGGAUCGAGUGAAGGUACUGGUAUUGGGAGACUCAGGUGUUGGAAAAUCUUCACUGGUUCAUCUUCUGUGUCAAAAUCAAGUCCUGGGAAAUCCGUCAUGGACUGUGGGCUGCUCAGUAGAUGUCAGAGUAUUAUUUUAGUACAUGACUUAACAAAUAAGAAGUCAUCCCAAAACUUGUAUCGUUGGUCAUUGGAAGCUCUCAACAGGGAUUUGGUGCCAACUGGAGUAUUGGUAACA